rnacentral:rRNA from 1 species
GACGAACGCUGGCGGCGUGCCUAAUACAUGCAAGUUGAGCGAUGAAGAUUGGUGCUUGCACCAAUUUGAAGAGCAGCGAACGGGUGAGUAACGCGUGGGGAAUCUGCCUUUGAGCGGGGGACAACAUUUGGAAACGAAUGCUAAUACCGCAUAACAACUUUAAACAUAAGUUUUAAGUUUGAAAGAUGCAAUUGCAUCACUCAAAGAUGAUCCCGCGUUGUAUUAGCUAGUUGGUGAGGUAAAGGCUCACCAAGGCGAUGAUACAUAGCCGACCUGAGAGGGUGAUCGGCCACAUUGGGACUGAGACACGGCCCAAACUCCUACGGGAGGCAGCAGUAGGGAAUCUUCGGCAAUGGACGAAAGUCUGACCGAGCAACGCCGCGGGAGUGAAGAAGGGUGUCGGAUCGUAAAACUCUGUUGGUAGAGAAGAACGUUGGUGAGAGUGGAAAGCUCAUCAAGUGACGGUAACUACCCAGAAAGGGACGGCUAACUACGUG